AUGAACCCCCUUCUGAAAGAGACUGUCCCACCCUCCUGCAUUUAUCAAAGAGCAAUUAUAGUUGGAGCCAGUAUCCACGGGGAGAUGGUUCCAGGAGAUGGAACCUGUGGAUGCUUGAGUCCCUUGUAUGAAUGGGGCAGUACAAUGAAUACACGGGCCCUCUGUAUCCCCAGGUUUCACAUCUGCAGGGACAAAGAGCCAUCUGUAAUCUCUCUUCUGUUUUGUACCAACCAAAUCCAUAGAUCAUUCCCUGUAGGCAUCCCUAGUUCACAGUGGCUGAUUAAAUGCAUGGUCCUGGUUGAGCCAAGGGAUGGGUCACAUGCUACCUCCCCAUGGACAACAGUGUCUGUCAGAGGGACCUUGCUCUACACUGGCCAGGCCUUAGAGGCUAGAAUUAUCUCCCCGAACAGGUCAGACUCCCAUCCUGUUCUCUCCUCCUCCCAGCUGAGGGUCUCGGGUACACAGUGGCCUCUAAAGGCAUUAAGUUCCACCUCCCAUAAAUAUGAGCUCCCACCAAAGGGCAGGGUACUCAUCCCACAUUCCAGAUCCCACUCUGACAAGCCUGCCCUACCAGACACCGUGAUCUUUAGCAAACACUGCUCUUCACUAGUGGUCCACUUCCCUGCUGCCCCAGUGAGCGGUCAUCCCAGCCCAGACACUGAGGGGUUGGGCCACACCAUAUUCUCAGAUGACUAGAAUUGGGUUGCUGAACCAGCCCCAGUCUGAGUAGUAGCUUCUCUUUAAGGGAAGCCCACCCAGUGCAGUGAUCCUGGGGGUUCUUGGGAGUGAGCAGCAUGGCCCUGGUUCCCGUGGAAGAGACUGCCAGUCCUUUCCCACUCGUCACAAAAGAAAUCCUCGGAUCUCAGUUCUGGGUCUGGUUCUCUGCCAGGCCUCAAGACAUCAGGAUCAUGUAACCUUGGCCCCUGCCCUAAAGGAGUGCUCAUAACCCAAAGUCAUAAAAAAACAAAGGAUGUUACAGGGGAGUCAGGGUCAGCCUGCUCCUGAGCUGAGUCUCAGGCCAGAGGAAGAAGCAGUGAAGGCACCACAGGCCGAGAUGACGACAUUGGGAAACACUGCCAGGUAUUGUUUACGCGGCAGGAAGAGGUAGGCAGGAGCUGGCGGCAGGAGCCAGGGAGAGGAACCAGAUCUGACCAUGUAAGUUAUAGAUGACUCUUAGAAGAUUUUAACAGAUAGGGGCCAGCAACUGCUCGUGAGAAGAAGGGGCCAUAAGACCCUGGCAUACCAUAGCCUGGUGACCCUUCUUCACUCCCACUCUGGCUGCACUGCGGGAGCUCUGGACUCCCUCUAGAAGAGCUGGAGGCUGAGAUCCAAGCAACUGGCUGAGGGCCUCCCUACUGGGUCCCAGAGCUCAGCUCAGGCCAGGGAGCCUUCUAGGACUAUAGAAGGUGGUUAGCCAAUCAGACCAGAUAGUCUCUGGGGGUGGCCAUGUCCAAACAGCUUAGCAUAUGUGGGUGUAGGGACCUCUAGGGAUGAUGAUAUGAUAUCUGGAUGUGUGAGCGGCUGUAUUGGUCACCACAAGCUCCUGGUGAGUGACUAUAUAUAUCUGGGGAGGGGUGUGUCCACAGCUGUGUUAUUGUGUCGUGGUGGCGGUGAUGGCUGUGGUGCUCCAGGUGUAGGUGGCCAGUAUGUGAGGGUGCCUGCUGCGCAGCCCAGCCUGUGCAUUCUGUUUGGGGACAUAAACUAGUGAAGCAAACUCAGCCCUGAGCAGGUAGCCCUCAGCAAAGCUGACACCCCAAACCUACAGGUGGGAAUUCCUGCUCCCCGGCUCAGGAGAGCACUAGCUGGUCUUGCUCCCUGACAAGACCACUGGCCUGAUGCACUGAUAUUCCAAGGGGGCCUUCAGCUGGAGCAAAGUGAGAGAGUGUGGGGCCCCAGAAUUGGCUGGGGUCCUGUGAACCAAGGCAGGAGCGUGGGGGAAGGUGUCCGGGAGUCCCAAAGUGCAGAGAGGAGAAAGGGAGACGCUGGAGAUGAUCAGGGAGAAACUGAAGCAGGUACAGUCUUCCUAGCACCUCCAGGUGCUUGAAGCAGGACUGUUCAGAGCUGGGGGCACUUCAGCCUUGCCCCACCUUCCACCCUUCCUCACUUGCUACCAUACCAGUUUUGAUAACAGCAGUCACUGGGCCACCUAGUUCUCUCUGGCUGUGGAGCACCCACUCACAUCUCCUUUCACUCACCCUGGAGCUUCUGAGCUCCUGUCAGAUGAGUCUGGAGAGCAUCAGACCCUUGGUUGAAGGGGACGCUGAGGUUCUGGUCAAAAGGAAUGUGUUAAGAAUGCUCAGCUGAAGCCAAGACUGUCUUAUAAGCCUGCCCCCCCGCCCCCCCGCUGCCGCAAGUUUUUGGGAAACUUAGAGAAGGGAGGCAGGAGCCAAGGCACUUCUCACAUUGGGAUCCCAUAUCGGACUGAGAGUAGGGAUGAGGCCAUUGUGAGGGGGGCCUCAGACAGGGCUGGGUCAAGCCUAGUCUCUUCCAAGAGCUGCUUGUUCAGCAGGUGCCAACCUGGAUAGAGGUAAGGAUCUCGGAUUGGUUUCCCAAGAAGAGCCUAACUGCGAGCCUGAGGCAGGAGAGUGGAUGGCAGGACAGAAAGGGGCAAGGGCUGGCCCAUGGUCACAGUAGAUUAUUGGGCUGGCAGGCCAGGGUAGAGCGCUCCCGAUCCAGAACGGCUGGGCAAGUGAGCCACGUCUGGGAGGAGGCGCUGCCCGAAGCGGCCACCCGGGAGGAGGCGCUGCCUGAAGCGUCCACCUUUUCCAGCCAGAACCCAAGCUGUUUCCCCUGUGUUUCUCCUGUCGCUAGCUGACCCCCAGUUUCCGUACCCACAGUGCCAGUAGAGGUGGUGACGAUGUUGUCACCUUUCUUUGUUAUCACACUCCCGAGGUCUUUCUCCAAUCAAGUCCUCUUAAUACUCGGUGGCUAGCACGAGGCCAGUUCUCCGCCGCGUCCCGGCGCGGAGCUGGGCUGGGGCAGAGAGCCGCACUUACCCCUGAACGCAGAGGACCAUGUCCCGGCAGCUGCAGCUGUUGCUCCUGCCUGGAGGACAGGGCGGGGCGACCAGCCUAAUCUUUUGUCCUCUGUGUCCCAGCCCUUCCCGGAAGCGACGUCUUCCUAGAACCGCCGGCUGUGCUGUCUGGCGGCGAGGGGCGCGGGUGGGGGGCGCCGGCUCCCUUAGUCUGGGGCUGAGGGUCGCUAAAGGAAACACCUUUGACAGAUUUCCAAGAACUUUCCAGGAAAAUGGGGCGGGGCCCUGCGCGCCGACCAGUCGCAGUGCAGGAGGUGGGGCCGAGUGGUCAGGGAGGGCCAAUUAGAGCGCUUGGAUUCGAGGCUGACGUGAGCCAAGGGGGUUGGGCAUGACUUAGAGACCAACCGGUGAAAACCAAGUUGAAUAGGGCUAGGGAGAGGCCGGUGCUUUACCUACCUGAGCUCAGAUUUCCUUCGGGGCACUCCGCUUCGUUAGCGACAGGCCCGCUUAUCUCUGGAUAGGACCGGUGGCAGCACGAGGGCGCGGCCACGGGUCUGUCCGCCCAGCUAGUGGCUCCUCCAAGGCGGUGUGCUGGUGUGCAGGCGCCCCCUAUGGGCUGCACUCGGACCCCUGGACCCUGUGUGGGGAGGCGGGUGGCAUGGGUUAUGGUUUGGAGAGAAACAUUAGGGGAAAAAAGGGAUUCAGAGGGAGUAUCCAGAUCCAAGCAGGUUCACGGAGGUCAAGCCUGAGGCCACUGCAGCCAAUAGGAUCCAAGCGAGAAGGUUUCCCCUGGGAGUUGCGGAAGAAGGCACCAUCCCAACCUUUGCACUCUGUGGGGCCAUCCAGUCUCGGCCCUAAGCUGGCCUCUGGCCAGCCCUCCAAUCAGGGAGGAAAUGACUACCAACUUGAGGAGACAGGCAAGGAUAAAGAGCCCCCAGCUCUCCUCACAGGACAGUUUAGAUGUGUCUCUGGCUUGGUGGGCCCCCUAAAAAUAUGGGAGAGAGACCUGGAGCUCCAAACCCCCAGCGAUAAACUGAAGCUAGGGGAUAAAAGUAGAGCGGAGGAACAGUGACAGCCUCUCCCAUCUACACGGAGCACCUGGUACGUGCGAUCCUCAAUAGCUGGUAUUUCUCCCAUUAUUGCUGAGCCCCAGGGAACAUCCCCUACCAUUGAUCCUUUCCACCUUUUCCCAUUCACUGGACUCACCGAGAAGCAUCCUUAAAGGGGCUGCUCACAUAUCCUCGAAGCCCGUGGGCCAGGAGAUGAGAGAAUUGGAGCAGUGGUAGGGUCCAUCCCACCUUCCCAGUGUGUACCCCCCAAGUUCCCAGAAAAGAAGGUAAACUUCAGGUCCCCUAGCAGGGAUGACAGGCUCCUGGCAGUGUCCAGAGGCAUAAAUGGUAGUAUCCAGGCUUUCCCCAGGGCAUACAGGGCUGAGUUUGUCCUGCCUGGGAGGGGAUGGAAGACUGAGGGAUCCAAAAGCAAAAGGCCACGAUGCAGGACAACAUUACAAAAAUAAUUGGUUCAUGUGAGAAAUGACUUGAUGAAACUCACUUCUCAUGAAACCCAAGUUCCUGAAGGGAAUUUGAACUUCAGUGUAGCCCCACUUCAGUUCAGUUCAGUCACUUAGUUGUGUCUGAUUCUUUGCCAACCCAUGGACUGCAGCACGCCAGGCUUCCCUGUCUAUCACCAACUCCCGGAAUUUGCUCAAACUCAUGUCCAUCAAGUCGGUGAUGCCAUCCAAUCAUCUCAUCCUCUGUCGUCCUCUUCUCUUGCCUUCAAUCUUGCCCAGCAUCAGGGUUUUUUUUAAAUGAGUCAGUUCUUUGCAUCAGGUGGCCAAAGUAUUGGAGUUUCAGCUUCAGCAUCAGUCCUUCCAAUGAAUAUUCAUGACUGAUUUCCUUUAGGAUGGACUGGUUGGAUCUCCUUGCUGUCCAAAGGACUCUCAAGAGUCUUCUCCAACACCAUAGUUCAAACAUCAACUCUUCGGUGCUCAGCUUUUUUUAUGGUCCAACUCUCACAUCCAUCAACCCACUCCAGUAUUCUUGCCUGGAGAAUCCCAUGGACGGAGAAGNNNNNNNNNNNNNNNNNNNNNNNNNNNNNNNNNNNNNNNNNNNNNNNNNNNNNNNNNNNNNNNNNNNNNNNNNNNNNNNNNNNNNNNNNNNNNNNNNNNNACAACUAAUAAACUGAUAAUUUUCUAUAUAAUUUCAUGGCUGCAGUCACCAUCUGCCGUGAUUUUGGAGCUCCCCAACAAUAGUGUCUGUCAGUUUCCCUAUCUAUUUGCCAUGAAGUGAUGGGACCAGAUGCCAUGAUCUUAGUUUUCUGAAUGUUGAACUUUAAGCCAACUUUUUAACUCUCCUCUUUCACUUUCAUCAGGAGGCUCUUUAGUUCUUGUGGUGUCAUCUGCAUAUCUGAGGUUAGUGACAUUUCUCCCGGCAAUCUUGAUUUCAGCUUGUGCUUCAUCCAGUCCAGCAUUUCUCAUGACGUACUAUGCAUACAAGUUUAAUAAGCAGGGUGAAAAUAUAUAGACUUGAUGUACUCCUUUCCUGAUUUGGAACCAGUGUGUUGUUCCAUGUCUAGUUCUAACUGUUGCUUCUUGACUUGCAUACAGAUUUCUCAAGAGGCAGGUCAGGUGGUCUGGUAUUCCCAUCUCUUGAACAAUUUUCCACAGUUUGUGGUGAUCCACAUAGUCAAAAGCUUUGGCAUAGUCAAUAAAGC
rnacentral:lncRNA from 1 species